rnacentral:hammerhead_ribozyme from 1 species
AUCAAGAUGAAGAGUCCCAAAUGGGACGAAACGUGCAUCCCGGAU